rnacentral:rRNA from 1 species
CCUACGGGAGGCAGCAGUGGGGAAUUUUGGACAAUGGGCGAAAGCCUGAUCCAGCAAUGCCGCGUGAGUGAAGAAGGCCUUCGGGUUGUAAAGCUCUUUUGUCAGGGAAGAAACGGUGGGAGCUAAUAUCUCUUGCUAAUGACGGUACCUGAAGAAUAAGCACCGGCUAACUACGUGCCAGCAGCCGCGGUAAUACGUAGGGUGCAAGCGUUAAUCGGAAUUACUGGGCGUAAAGCGUGCGCAGGCGGUUUUGUAAGUCUGAUGUGAAAUCCCCGGGCUCAACCUGGGAAUUGCAUUGGAGACUGCAAGGCUAGAAUCUGGCAGAGGGGGGUAGAAUUCCACGUGUAGCAGUGAAAUGCGUAGAUAUGUGGAGGAACACCGAUGGCGAAGGCAGCCCCCUGGGUCAAGAUUGACGCUCAUGCACGAAAGCGUGGGGAGCAAACAGGAUUAGAUACCCUGGUAGUCCACGCCCUAAACGAUGUCUACUAGUUGUCGGGUCUUAAUUGACUUGGUAACGCAGCUAACGCGUGAAGUAGACCGCCUGGGGAGUACGGUCGCAAGNUUAAACCGUA